CCCAGCUGCCCCGGGUACAUCCGCUGCCACACACUGGUGUGGAGCGCUAUAAUUAUAGCUGUGUGUGCCGUCUUGCCUCAGUUAUUACUCAGAAAGUGUUCUAGUUUACUUUGCUAGUAAGUAGUAUGUACUAGUACUAGGCGCUUUUCAGCACUGUCAUCGUUGCCAUUGCACCAUGGACCUGGAAGUACAGGCAGGGAUUGAUUUAGCAGAACAAGCCAUUCUAAUAGGAGGCUUGGAUCAGCCACCUAAACCCGCUGAUUCAGAAAUACAAGGCAUUUGCGACCAGGUCAGGAAAGCGGUAGAGGAGAGGGUGCACGGAGGAAAGCCGUUUGAGCAAUACACUGCUAAAACCUACAUUCGGCUGGUGACCACAGGAGCAGACUAUCGCAUCAAAGUGCAGAUCAGUGAGGAUGUCUUGAUUCGAAUCCGAGUAUUCCUUUUCGUCCAAACAGCAGCGAAACCAAUACCCCCUGAGCUUUUAGCAGUUGCAUCUGAUGGUCUUCUUAGUCAACCAUUCUGACUUCUAUUUAAUUUGUAUUUUGUAUUUAUGGAUUCUCAAUUCUGGUACAUGUAUUCUAUUCCGUCGUACACCUUCAGAUUUGAACUAUAACAUAUGUUAAUGGAUGAAAAUUGUAUGAUACGAGAGGCAAGACUAUCAUUCACGCACUGCGUAGAUUUAUGAAAAUAGCAAUCCAGGGUCACACUGGAGGAACAUA